rnacentral:rRNA from 1 species
AUUGAACGCUAGCGGGAUGCCUAACACAUGCAAGUCGAACGAGUGGCGGACGGGUGAGUAAUGUAUGGGAACCUGCCCGGUAGAGGGGGAUAACUACUGGAAAGGGUGGCUAAUACCGCAUACCAUCGGAUCUGCCGAGAUCGGAUUAGCUGGUUGGUGGGGUAACGGCUCACCAAGGCGACGAUCCCUAGCUGGUCUGAGAGGAUGACCAGCCACACUGGGACUGAGACACGGCCCAGACUCCUACGGGAGGCAGCAGUGGGGAAUAUUGCACAAUGGGCGAAAGUCUGACCGAGCAACGCCGCGUGUAUGAUGAAGGUUUUCGGGUCGUAAAGCACUGUUGGUGGGGAGGCGGUAUCUAACCAAGAAGCCCCGGCUAACUACGUGCCAGCAGCCGCGGUAAUUC